GAUUUUUUUAAUGCUACCUUGAUCACACUCGUCUCAUCAGACUUUGGAAGUAAGCAGGGCAAGCCAGGGUUCUACUUGGAUGGGAGACCACCAUGGGAUACCAGAGAUCU
rnacentral:rRNA from 1 species